UGAUCAGGAAUAUGAAGGGAAGGGAAACACACACACACACGCACACACACACACACAAAUACCUUUCAUCUAGCAAUUUUUAAAGAGAGGAGUCUUACCUGAGGAAGAGCACUCCAGCCUGGAACUCCGCUUGUUUCAAACAGCCUAUGGACCGGCACUCCUUCCCCCUGGAAGUCUGAGUUCGCUCCUUGGGGGCCUGAGCCCAGUGGAGUUUGCAGGGUUUUUGCUCCUUGGUCUGCUGGCGCUGGAACAGCACCUUCUCCUGCAGGGAACUGGGAAUUCCAAUCAGCAGCUUCUGCUUUGGCACGAAGACCGGCUCUUUUAUCACUCUGGGUUAGUGGGUGCUUAACAGGUUCUUUGGGAUAGAGGAGAUUAAGGGUGCCUUCUGUUGCACUCUCUUUUAGGUUGGGGCUCAGCUUUUUGGGUUUUCCUCUCACACCUGGCCGCCUCACCCUGGGGGGUUUCUCAGAGCCCGUCUUGGUCAGUGACCCCCCAUCCCCUUCCUUUUUGUCUGCUGCGAUCUCCAUCCACUGGCUCACCCCUGGCUUCUCUAACUCACCAGACAAGCGCUUCAUCGCCGUCUCUAUCACUGCUUUAUCCAUGUUUAGCAGAUUGUCACUGGGGAAUUCCUCUCCUGCUUGGUGGCUGUCUCUGGUUUCUCCUCGAAUUCCUGGAUAAUCAUUUUCAGCGGCCCCAGAAGCAGUGGGUGGUUUAUGUCUCCCCUGGUCUGUCACCGUAGAUGUCGUGUCUCGGUGAGGCCCCCAAGUCAGAAUCAUCCCCGUUUGCAGGGAUGAGGGACUGUGGGUGGAGGCUUGGCUGCUCCUCACCCCCACUUCUUGGGAUUGUGAGUGAUAACCACAGAAGCCAGUGGUGGCAUCCAUAGGCCCCGUGUCAUCUGACACCCGAGGCCCACAACCCAUUUCACUGAGGAGAUGCUCACACCCACCCAGGCAACACGCACCGAAUUCCAUCUCUUCGUCAUCGCUUUCUAAUAAAAAAACAUGCUCAGAGCCCUGCAGGUUCCUUUGCCAGACUGCAUUAGAGUAAUCCGUCAUAACGUCGGAACAUUCCAGAUACUCUAGGUCAUCAUCUGAAAACUCCUCGGUGCAGGUUAGGGUUAUCUCUGGGCAAAGUUCAUAGUCACUGUCAGAGUCUUCGCUGGACACCUGUGGGCUGCCUUGCUGGUUGAUCGUGUCCCUGUCACCUGGGCAAGCGGAUGCGGUCGCCUCUGACAGUGGCAGGCUGAAGCUGAUGUACUUCUGCGCUUUAGGAUCCGGAUGACCAGAGUCUGAGACUUCCUCCUUAAGGCCAUCACUGCCUGAGGCACCAUCCCUUAGCCUCGAUACUUCGGAAUGCGCUGUCCUGGGGUAACACACAUUUUGUUUAGUGGGGAUUGUACUUGAAUCAGAAAAAAGCAACCCAACUGCAACUUCCUCUGUGUCAUCCGGACCAGGCGCCUCUUCCAUUGGCCUCGUUCCCGUAACAUCCAAGGGAUUUUCAGACCUGGAUGCAUUAGUGUCACUGUUGGCCAAUAACUGGAGGGAGCACGAGGGGCUGAAUUUGGAGGAGGGGGAGUCAGCAGACACGGGACUACCUGCCGAGACAUACUCUUCGCCCUCACAAGGAGGUUCUUCCUCCCCCAGUUGAUUUGUCUUGCCCUGCGCACACGCCUCUGUUGCAGGUGGCCAACCUGGGCCCCUGCCAUCUUUCAGGUUAAGAGAGAGCUGCGAGUUCUCUGCUGAGCACCUGACUUCAACAGAAGCAGAGCAGCAAAUCAUUCCAGAACAGUUUUUAGCAGAGAUCUGAUACACGGCAGCGUCAUCAGGGGUACAGCUAGGAUGAAGAGAACACACAGGUCAUUCCCCUGCUCCCCAGAAAACUCUCCCAACCAAGAUUAAAAUUGCUGAAACAAACCCUGCAAUCUGACCAGACACCCUGAGGACAGUGUUCGUGAGAGACAAAGCUCAAGCGAUUGGCUGGAGCUUCCCAGGUGAUUCUAAAGGGGAACCAGAGCUCAGAAGCACUGAGCUAAAUGAAUGCUAGCUCCUGUGUGGCCCUGAAGGAGGUAGAGGAAUUGGUAUUUGACAAGGAGUCUGGGUUUCCCUGGGUGAUCAUGUCCAGAAAGAGGGUGACGGCCUCCAGAAACCAAAGUGUCUGGCUCAGACAACAAGAACUUAUAAACAGCUCUUUGUGACAAACCAGAAUGGCUUCGAGAAUAUAACAGUAUCCCGGUGCUCCUGGCAUCUGUCCACCCAGAUGUGAGGAAUAACUAAAAAGUCUAAGACAUCACUACAGUCACAGAUUUGACCAUCUAAAAACCUUCCAAACAGGGUUUCAAGUACAAGCAUAUAUGAGAAAAGCAGCUUCAACUUGUGGCUGGGUUCCAGCUCACCUGUUAAAUGUCCACUUCUUUCCUGGCUUUGAAAAUUCUCCAGGGACUCUAAUGCUUUUCAAAACUAUUCAGAUAAAAUUAUCCUGGCUCUAAGUACAACUGCUGUCAGCUAGGGCAGAGUAAUUCUUUCAGAGUAAUUCUGGGACCACAUUGCUUUCAGGGAGUGGUCGAGAAAAGGGCAUCAAUUAUUAACUAAUAACUGAUACUUGUUGCAUGCUUAAUGCACACUUUGUUGACCAUUUUGAAUGAAAAAUCUCAUUUAAAUGAUCACAAAAGAUCACUUUAUGAAGACACCAAAGCACAGAGAAGUUAAUGGACUUGCUCAAGGCCACACAGCUAGCAAGGGGCAGAGCAUGGCGACAGUGAAAAUGAGGACGUUGAGGCAGGACCUGGAGAAUUUUGUCAUCAUUUACAAACACAUGAGUCUGUGGGGAUAAGAGAUGACAGAAAUCCCACUCCCUGCCCCUAGGAGCUGACCUUCCAACAAAGAAGAGGGGGACAUCAGUGAAGCAGAAGUCACUAACUUCGUGCAGCCAAUAUCGACUGAGCCCUGAACGAAAAGUCCAGGCUUCACAGAGCUUUCGAUCCAGUCAGGAGACAGACAGAAGCCAAGUAAAGGAUAAUGUGCAGGGGGCACCUGGGGGGCUCAGUGGGUUAAGCAUCUGCCUUCAGCUCAGGUCAUGAUCCUGGGGUCCUGGGAUAGAGCCCCUGCGUCAGGCUCCCUGCUCAGUGGAGAGUCUGCUUCUCCCUCUCCCUCUUCCCCUCUCCCCUGCUCAUGCGCUCUCUCUCUCUCUCUCUCAUAUAAAUGAAUAAAAUCUUAAAAAAAAAUGAAUACUCAAUUUUUGUCCAGGUUCCUGGAACAUGGCUCCUGAAACCAUUGGAAUCUCUGGAGUGAUGUCUUUUGUGUGGUGAUGGGAUGACUGGUGCCUGGAAACCCCUAGGCAAGCUUCAGGAGGGGGCCUGGUCCCAGAAGGACCAAGGCACCAUUACAAGGUUGGAACUUCAGCCCCAGGCCCAGACCUCCGGGGAGGGAGAGGGGCUAGAGAUGGUUAAUCACCAUUGGCCAAAAAUUCUAUCAUUUCGUGCCUACAUAAUGGAAGCUCCAGAGAAAUCUCUAAAGGACUGGGUUGAGAAAGGGCCCAGGUUGGUGACUAUAUCAAGGUUCCGGGAGAGGGGCAAACCUGGAGAGGUCACGAAGUGCUGCAGCCCUGACCCCACGCCUCGCCCUAUGUAUUGCUUCUGUUUGGCUGUUCCUGAAUUGUGCCCUUUAUAACAAAAGGAUUAUGGUAAGUAAAGUGUUUUCCCCGAGUCCUGAGUUGUUCUGGCCAAUUACACAACCUGAAGGAGGGAGAGGAGAUUGUGGGAAUCCCCCGACUUUGUAGCCAGUCAGACAGAAGUGACCAGGGACCCAAUACUUGCAACUAAUGAUGUCUGAAGCAGGACGAGGGGGUGAUCUUGAGGGAGGGAGAUCUUAAACCUGUGGAGUCUGAUGCUACCUCUGAAUAUCUGGUUGUCAGAACUGAACUGAAUUGUAGAACAGCCAGCUGGUGUCAGAAUUGGUUGGUAUCAGGAAGAAAAAAGAUGACUCAUUCUGCUAAUUGUCUUCUUCUGUGUCUGCUUCCUCCGCUGGACUGUGAGAUCACAGAAGUCAGGGGUGAGACAUUUUCUUAGCCCUCUGCAUGCUCCUAUUUAGGGCUGAUGAGAACCUACCAAGUGUGCUUGAUGUUUGCAGAAUAAAUGAAUGGAUUAGGAAUGGAAAGAAUUGUCCUAUAGGCAAAAAGGAGCCUUAGAAAGUUGUUUUCCAGCAGGAUGAAGAGGCUUAAGUAGGUGAUUUAAAAGAUUAAUUAGGUACGUGUUAGAUGGAGAGAAGGUGUAGUAGAUCACACACUUUGCCACAAUUUCCUCCCGUGCAUUUACGCGCGCCCUAUUGCAAUGUGACUUUGCCACUCCACUCUUAAAGAAGUGGCUUCUACUUUUGUGCUGCUUAAAUCUGGUCCAGUGACUUGCUCCCACCAGGGGAAUGUAUUGGAAUUGGUAUUACGGUGGCAACCAAAAGGCCUGCAGAUCCAUUCCCCUGGAAUGCUGCUCUGAGACCACAGCAUGGGGAAGCCAGUUCUAGCCUCCUGGAGGAGGAUAGGAGCCCAUGUGGAAGAGAGCUGAGGUGGCCCAGACAACAACCAGCAUCAACUCCCAGACCUGUUGGUGACGCCGUCUUGGACCUUCCAGCCCAACCAAUCCUCAAACUCAAGUGGCCAGAGGGAGCAUUGAGUGAGCCAGGCCAAGCCAG